UACGUAGGGUGCGAGCGUUAAUCGGAAUUACUGGGCGUAAAGCGUGCGCAGGCGGUUCGUUGUGUCGGCGGUGAAAGCCCCGGGCUUAACCUGGGAAUGGCCGUUGAAACUGGCGAACUGGAGUGUGGCAGAGGGGGGUGGAAUUCCGCGUGUAGCAGUGAAAUGCGUAGAGAUGCGGAGGAACACCGAUGGCGAAGGCGGCCUUCUGGACAGUGACUGACGCUGAGACGCGAAAGCGUGGGGAGCAAACAGG
rnacentral:rRNA from 1 species